CAGUUGCUAGCUCAGUGGUAGAGUCCAUGCUUUGUGUGUAUGACGUCCUCGGUUCAAAUCCCACCUGGUCGCUGU